rnacentral:rRNA from 1 species
AUUGAACGCUGGCGGCAUGCCUUACACAUGCAAGUCGAACGGCAGCACGGGUGCUUGCACCUGGUGGCGAGUGGCGAACGGGUGAGUAAUACAUCGGAACAUGUCCUGUAGUGGGGGAUAGCCCGGCGAAAGCCGGAUUAAUACCGCAUACGAUCUACGGAUGAAAGCGGGGGACCUUCGGGCCUCGCGCUAUAGGGUUGGCCGAUGGCUGAUUAGCUAGUUGGUGGGGUAAAGGCCUACCAAGGCGACGAUCAGUAGAUGGUCUGAGAGGACGACCAGCCACACUGGGACUGAGACACGGCCCAGACUCCUACGGGAGGCAGCAGUGGGGAAUUUUGGACAAAGGGCGAAAGCCUGAUCCAGCAAUGCCGCGUGUGUGAAGAAGGCCUUCGGGUUGUAAAGCACUUUUGUCCGGAAAGAAAUCCUUGGCUCUAAUACAGUCGGGGGAUGACGGUACCGGAAGAAUAAGCACCGGCUAACUACGUG